rnacentral:rRNA from 1 species
CCUACGGGAGGCAGCAGUGAGGAAUAUUGGUCAAUGGACGCAAGUCUGAACCAGCCAUGCCGCGUGCAGGAAGACGGCUCUAUGAGUUGUACACUGCUUUUGUACGAGGGUAAACGCAGAUACGCGUAUCUUUCUGAACGUAUCGUACGAAUAAGGAUCGGCUACCUCCGUGCCAGCAGCCGCGGUAAUACGGAGGAUUCAAGCGUUAUCCGGAUUUAUUGGGUUUAAAGGGUUCGUAGGCGGUCGGAUAAGUUAGCGGUGAAAUCCCGGGGCUCAACUUCGGAAUUGCCUCUGAUACUGUUAGGCUAGAGAGUAGUUGCGGUAGGCGGAAUGUAUGGUGUAGCGGUGAAAUGCUUAGAGAUCAUACAGAACACCGAUUGCGAAGGCAGCUUACCAAGCUACGUCUGACGUUGAGGCACGAAAGCGUGGGGAGCAAACAGGAUUAGAUACCCUGGUAGUC